CCCUUAGACGUUCUGGGCCGCACGCGCGCUACACUGACCAGUGCAACAAGCAUCCGUCCUUGGCCGACAGGCUCGGGCAAUCUUUGAACGCUGGUCGUGAUGGGGAUAGACUUUUGCAAUUUUUGGUCUUCAACGAGGUAUUCCUAGUAAACGCAAGUCAUCAACUUGCAUUGAUUACGUCCCUGCCCUUUGUACACACCGCCCGUCGCACCUACCGAUUGAAUGGUCCGGUGAAGCCUCCGGAUUGGCGCGCACCUCGGUGCCGCCGAGAAGUUGGCUAAACCUUACCAUUUAGAGGAAGGUGAAGUCGUAACA
rnacentral:rRNA from 1 species